rnacentral:sRNA from 1 species
CUGUACUCCAGCCUGGGCGAUGGAGUAAGGCUCCAUCUCAAAAAAAAAAAAAAAAAAGAUUUUACCAAUUUUUAGUAGAUGGUCCAAAAAAACAGAACAAAAAGAUUUGUAGUAGAUAGUCUAUUAUGAACUUAUUUUAACUAAAAAAUUUUUCUUCCUGUCUAGGAAGUGAAAGUACUUAGCAUUGAUCAAAGAAAUUUCAAAUUACGAUCAAUUGGGUGGGGAGAAGAAUUUUCAUUGUCCAAGCACCCUCAGGGAACAGAAGUCAAAGCAAUAACAUAUUCAGCAAUGCAGGUCUAUAAUGAAGAGAAGCCGGAAGUUUUUGUGAUCAUUGACAUUUAAGACACCAAAAAAUAAAAGACUCCUAUGAAGAA